AACGAACGCUGGCGGCAUGCCUAACACAUGCAAGUCGAACGAGACCUUCGGGUCUAGUGGCGCACGGGUGCGUAACGCGUGGGAACCUGCCCUUAGGUUCGGCAUAACUCCCCGAAAGGGGUGCUAAUACCGGAUAAUGUCUUCGGUCCAAAGAUUUAUCGCCUUUGGAUGGGCCCGCGUUGGAUUAGCUUGUUGUUAGGGUAAAAGCCUACCAAGGCGAGGAUCGAUAGCUGGUCUGAGAGGAUGGUCAGCCACACUGGGACUGAGACACGGCCCAGACUCCUACGGGAGGCAGCAGUGGGUAAUAUUGGACAGUGGGCGGAAGCCUGAUCCAGCAAUGCCGGGUGAGUGAUGAAGGCCGUAGGGUUGUAAAGCUCUUUUACCCGGGAUGAUAAUGACAGUACCGGGAGAAUAAGCUCCGGCUAACUCCGUG
rnacentral:rRNA from 1 species